rnacentral:sRNA from 1 species
AUGUACCACGCGUACACUGCGUUUCCUGUACGCCGUCCACGCCCACCUGCCGACCACUCGCUACGUUUGCUAACC